UGGGGAAUAUUGGACAAUGGGCGCAAGCCUGAUCCAGCCAUGCCGCGUGAGUGACGAAGGCCUUAGGGUUGUAAAGCUCUUUCGGCGGGGAAGAUAAUGACGGUACCCGCAGAAGAAGCCCCGGCUAACUCUGUGCCAGCAGCCGCGGUAAUACAGAGGGGGCAAGCGUUGUUCGGAAUCACUGGGCGUAAAGCGCACGUAGGUGGAUAGUUAAGUUCGGGGUGAAAUCCCAGGGCUCAACCCUGGAACUGCCUCGGAUACUGGCUAUCUCGAGUCCGGAAGAGGUGAGUGGAAUUCCUAGUGUAGAGGUGAAAUUCGUAGAUAUUAGGAAGAACACCGGUGGCGAAGGCGGCUCACUGGUCCGGUACUGACACUGAGGUGCGAAAGCGUGGGGAGCAAACAGGAUUAGAUACCCCAGUAGUCCCUGAGCGGGCUGGCAAGGCGCAU
rnacentral:rRNA from 1 species